UUUUAUGAAUACGCAAAGAAAGUAGUUUCUUGUGAAGGAAUCUACUGCUGGUGAAGAUGCUGUGAA
rnacentral:pre_miRNA from 1 species